rnacentral:lncRNA from 1 species
CGACCGCAGCUAUAAACUGAGCAAAACGCUUGCAAUGCCAUCAAUAGCAAGAGAAAAACGGCAGCCAGCAAAGCAAGAAUUGGCCAGCAACCAACCACAUAAACCUUGAAAAUUUUUGCCAUUUUAACCUUCCAUCUACCGUUAUAAUACUUGUUCACAUCUUCAAUCGCCUGGUCCAAGAAUGGCACUUUCGUCAACCGAAUCGACUUGCUCAUACCAUUAAACAGACUGGCCACUUCUUCAUCACUCUUCAAACGGUUCAGAAUUAUACCUUUUUCUCUAAGCAGCUUUGCGUCCUCCUCCGUGUCUAUAAUCCCGUUCAUCAUUUCUGUGUAGCGUGUAAAAACCAACUGCCCUGAUGCAUUUGAUGCUUCAUAAGUUACCAAGUUUCUCAGGAUCACCUCUGCGUUCACAUCUAAGCUAGUUGCGGGGAGGUAAAGUGUGACCGUUUUGGGAUCAAAGGAUAUGGAUGAAAUGCAACCCUUUGUUGGCACAAAACGGAUCCCGGAUUCCAUAAGAUCAGACACAGAAGGGAUAGUGAUCUCCUCUACCAAUGGCGGUUUGUUGACGGAACUCUCAUUUUCGGGUUUGAUUUCUUCUUUGUCUUGGGAGGAGAAUAAAUAAGCAACAGGUUGUUUCAAAAGUGCAAAUCCAGGAAGGCUGGAGAGGAUUGUCCAAGGCAAUUUAAAUAUCACUUUAAUAGGUCCGGAUACAAGUAUGUUUUUAAGGAGACGUACCGGCCCUUUGUUUAGUUUCGACAGCAGAUUCCAUACUUCCUCAAGAAAUUGUUUAACGUAAUUCGGGCUCUUUGUAGAUUUUGACUCCUUGUCUUCGUCUGUGCCUUCGCCUUGAUCCUCAGCUUCUACAAUUUCAGAGGGCCGGCGUUCUAGUUUGGGGGUGAUCAUUUGGUACAAAAAGUCUAGCAAGUGAGCACAUUCUGAGACUUUGAUCUUCGGCAGGUCCUCAUCCUUCAUCUUGAAGGGUGAAAGCUCUUUGCACAAUCCCAUCAACAUCGAAAGCAGCAUCUCGUCAGCAGUUUCCAACGAUUGGAAUCGAAACUCCAACAUUUUUCUCAAAACAAAUAGUGGGAUUUGGUUCUCAAGCAUUACCAAGUCCCUUAGAAUUGAAUGGUGUGCUGAGUUCCUGCCUGAAUAGUCAACCAAGCGUGACAUCUUUGAGGAAACUCUGGUCAAAAUCUUCCCUUCUUUGGCUCCAUAGACUUGGACCAUCUCUAGCAAGAAUGAUGCGUCGAUCGCCAUCAUCCACCCUAGAGUCUCACCAUUGAAAUCCAGGUACUUGUGGUAGCAAGCACGAAUACGCGGCUCAAGCUUUAUCAAUUGAUCAACAAGAUUUUGGAACUUAAGGCACUGGAGAUUCUUUUGUGUUCUUUUAGCUGCAGCCACUUUGUACCUCUCCAUCUCGUAGAGCUCCGGACGCAAAUAAUGGUAAGGACCAAUUGCAACUUCUUGUGGGGUGUAGGAAUCAGGAUCACUUGCCAAAAGGGUUUUCGGGACAUUGAAAAUGGAAACGGGGAUUUCGCUAUCAUCGUCGAGCUCUUCCUCGAGUGUUUUUCGGAUUUGAAUAACCCAUUGGAACUCGUUGAAGUUCGAACUAGAUUUGGAAGAGAAACUUUGUUGGAGAGAGGACAUGUUUAUGGUGUGUUGUUCUAGCUUUUUUUAGGAUCAUAAACUUUUUUGGUGGGUUGAAAGACAGUUUCUGAUCAGAUUGUGAGGAAGUUAUGAGAAGAACUAAGGAGAGAGUCCUCAUAUUAAUAUUGUCAUUAGUGACCUUUAAGAGUGUUUUUGAAUUUAUCAAUUGGGAAUGCGUUUUCCUCAUGCUUUAAUUGUUUACUAUAUGAAAUGUGUCUUUUACCUUGCUCAUGACAUAGAUCUGAGUUGGCUACGGCAUGUCUUCAUUAUAUCAAAUUCUAAUCCUUCUAAGUAAUUGGUGUUAGCAAGAGUAGAGAGGAUGUAGAGUGAUGAGCAUGAGAGAUUUUUCAGUGUGUUAGAAACACGGUCCGGUACGUCAAGUGUAAUAAUACAAUUAAUUGGAAACUUGAAAAAGAAAAUUUAAACAAUUGCGUUAUAACAUUUAGUGUACCGAAUCAUAUUUCUAGCACAAUGAAAAUUUUCUUUAUAAGUAAGAAUAAGUUAAAUCAAAAGUUUGACACCCUUAAAUAUAACGAAAAAUAUGUAAUAAUUCAUCUAUUGGUGACAGGGAGUUAUAUGUUUGUUAUUCCCACUUGGUGCAAGUAGGAUUAAUGUAGUGUGAGAAUCAUAAUCAUUGGGCUCCAUUUCACGUGUAGAAGCCCUGUGGGAUGAUAGUGCCAUGUUGGCCUUUAAAGAAAGGAAUAAAAAAAAUGAGAAUUCGUUGUGGAAUCCACAACAUAUUGAAUUUCAACGAUCCGAAUCGUUUAUUUUUUAAGUUGUACCUCAUAAAUCAUCCUUGCAAAAUAUUAGCCAAAUCAGAAAUAUUUAAGAUAUUUAAUUGAGUUCAAAGAAAUGAACAAAUACUUUGUUAUACAAGAAACAAUGAAAUUUGAUGUUGAUAAUUAAAUAGACAAAUGAUUGUCACUCAGUACUACGGUCUGUUGGUAUUCCUCUUAACUUGGAAGUGACAGGUCUUAGGUUCGAAUCUCGUGAAUGGCGAAUUCGAUACCAAAUUAGGCUGCCCAUUGUAUGACAUUUAGUACUACAAUAUAAUUGUAAUUUUUUUCACAUGUAAUUGAGAGGUUUUCAGUUUGAUUUUCAUUAAAGAAAAAUUCGAAUCACAUUAUUACUAGUUUAUUGUGAGGCUAACACAUGUCUUCUCUCUUAUUAUAGAUAAUAUCGUUCGUUAAAAGAAAAUAAUUAAUUAAUUCUUGUUCCGUCUAAAAACAGACAACAGACUAACUCUGAUCUAAUGAUAAAUCUUUUACCAGUAUUUAAAAGAAGUUAAUUUGAUGUGUAAAAGUAAACUAACUCUGAAUCUAACGAUAACUCUUUCAUCGGUAUUUGAAAGUUUCAAGUUCAAUUUCAAUCCCUAGUGAUUAAAAAAUAAAGUAAAAUCCUAAUUGAUGCGGUCGAUUUUUUAUACGUAUGCCAACAAUUAUUACGCAACUAUCACGUUAUGUGUUGUCACAUUAGUUAGGUUUUAAUUUUUUUUUUUUUAAAAGGAGACAAUUUGUGACAAGCCACGGUUAUCCACCAUUUCCGGGUCGGAGAUGCUAUAAGGAAUUUCACCCUUGCCCAUUGCUACGGUCAAGCAGACUCACAAACUCGGAGCAUCAAACCCAAGACUUUCCAUAUUUUUUUGUUUGUUUAUUGAAAAGCCACAUUCCACUUUAAUUCUAAAAUGUUGAGAUAAUAGUUAGUGUAUGUCAUAUUACUCAUUUUUUUACCCUAAAUUCAUCCACCAUAUGAAAAAAUGUGUCACGUUAGUCAUUUAUAAAAUGUUGAGAUAAUAGUUUGUGUACAUCACAUUACUCUUUUUGCUUUACAAACGAUAAGAUAAUUACAUCUAUACUACAGAGAGAUGCAAAUUCGAACUUCAAUGUAGAUGAUAAAGUAUACUGCUUUAGUCAACUUGGCUAAACUCAUAUUUAUUUGGAUUAUAUUACUCUUAAUAUUUUAUAAUUGUGGCGUGGAGGGCUUACAUUUCAUAAUAUUAGCAUAAACCCUAUCCUAACUUAAUAAUUCGUUAACUGGAAUCGAAUUACAUCAGCAUAGACAAAAGAGGACAACCAUAUUGGUUCCUUCCCUAGCCGUGAAUAAUGGUUAGUUUAAUAAUUCUUUUGGAAGAUUUGAGUUUAAUAACUAAACACAAAGAUAGAAGAUAAGUAUGCCAAGAAAAAACACAUCCGUUAUAGCCAAAUUCUUUGCCAACUCUCUUUUUCCAUGAAGUUCCAUGUUUGCAAUUCGAAUUACUUUUAUAGGUAGCUCAAGUUUGCAAUUUUAAUUAUGAUCUUCUUGUAAACAAAGUAUGACACUGUGCUUGGUAUUAACACACAAUCCAACUCACCAUAACAGUUUUCUGUUUACUUUGUGCAACUAAUUUUGUCUUAGAGUAAUUAGUUAUACUUGAUUAGAUGCUGAUUAUGAUUAGCAGGUGUAUAUAUACACAGUUGUAAAUAUUCUUUCAAUUAAUGAAAAUAGCACAAUUCAUAACUCAUCAUAUGGUAUCAACCGCCAUUGCUUAACAGCCUCUUCAUGAUCCUCUCCAUCUCUUCAUGAUUCUCACUGACCUUCACUUCUCGAUCGAUUUUCUUUGCGUCUCUCUUCAUGAUUUUCUUCAAUUCUUGAUCGAUUUUUCGUCUCUUUGAUCUUUAAUCUUUGUUUUUCUCUACUUCUCCGAUGACAUCUUCGGAUUCUUCUCCAGCGAAUCCUAACAUUCUUGCCCCCAAUUCAUCUUCGAUGAACCCUAACCCUAAUUCUCCAAUUUCAUCUAUUUCUUCAAUUAUAAUCCAAAACAUUAGUUGUAUGGUUCCCAUGAAGCUCAAACGAGACAAUUAUCUCAUCUGGAAGACGUUCUUUGCUCCAAUUUUUCGUCGUUACAAGCUUACUGGAAUUCUUGAUGACACUGAGGUAUGUCCACCUCCAUAUCUUCUUGACGGUUCUGGACAACACCGGUGUUCCGAAUCCAGCCUUUGAAACUUGGUAUGAGAAGGAUCAAAACAUCCUCAUUUGGUUGAAUUCCACUAUCUCUAAAGAGAUCAUACGUUUCACUGUCGGUGUAUCAUCUUCUCACGAACUAUGGAUCAAUCUUGAACAAUGCUUCAGUGGAGUCUCUGUUGCGCACAUUCACCAACUCCACACUUGCCUUCACUCAGUUCAGAAAGGUGUCUUUCAUUCUCUGAAUACAUUCAACAAAUCAAGAGUAUCUCGGAUGCUUUAAUGGUUAUUGGCGCGCCAAUUUCUGAUCAUGACCUUAUUGCUGUUACGCUCAAUGGUCUCUCUGAUGAGUACAAGUCAUUUAUUGAUUCUAUCAUGAUGUGAAUUUCCUCCACAACUCUUGAUGAACUUCAUGGCUUAUUGAUCAACAAAGAACUUUUCAUGAGUCAAAAGAAAAAAAUAUGUUGUUCCUUCUAUUUCAGAACCUUUUCAUGCUUAUGCUGCUCAGUCUCAGCGUUCUUAGGCUCCGAUUCUUCCAACGCCUCAAUUCAAUGCCUUUCCCCAAACUUUUGAUGCUCCAUACUCCAACUACAAUUCUUCUAAGAAUUAUCAAGGCAGCAAUCGUGGUCAUAACCACAGCAAUAAUCGUGGCAAACAAUCGUAGUUUCAACAAUUAUUGUGGGUCUGUGUCACACCCCAAAACUUGAGAUGUGAGAUUAAGUAAAAUAAAUAGAACAAAGUGGCCGUUUAAGGAUGCAAAACAAAUUUCAUCUUAAGAUUAUGUCGACGAAAAGUUAAAUCCCCCAAUUUCCAUAAAGUUAAACUACAAAAGUCAAUUUAAAGAAAUAGAGUUAAAGGUCUCAUGGUAAUACAAACUACAAAAGCGACCUAAACCGUAAAAUUCACCGAAAAUAGCUCGUUCAACCAAAAUGCGUGAAAAUUUCCAGAUCCAAUGUUAACCCACGAAACUAAGUUGUGUCAAAAUUUCAUUGAUUUUCGAGUUCGGGAAGUAUAGGAAAAUGUUAAAACUAAAACAGGCAUGCUGCUGUUUUCCUGUAAGAACAAUUUCAGCAGCUCCAAAUUACUCUGCAAACAAAACUAUCUAUAUUCCAAAUCUGAAUUUUUGCAACAUUCCACUUAGGUAAUAGAUACACACCCACAGUUUUAAACAUAACCAAGUUCAUAGUGGUUCUUCAAGAGCCAUUCAUAAAACCUUACAGAUUAAAAUAAGUUCACAAAAGACCUUUAGGUCUUCUAACAAGAAAACAUUUUCAGGCUAUUUGAGGAAAAUGUACAUGAGCAAAACUAUACAAGCCAAAAGACAAGUAGUUAUAUAUACAUGAUUUUCAUAGCCCAGGUAAGUAGAAUCUCCAACCCACCGAGGUCGACAUCAUUUUAGUCUACUACGCCACAAAAGGAUCAUUUACAAACAAAAACUAACUAUACAAACACUUUGGCAGCUCACCCAAAAGAAGUGUACGCCUGGACUCCCGUCAACUAACCCACAUUAGAGCUGCCACUUGAAAAUCAGCUAGUCGACUCUACACACCUGAAAGUACAUGUGUAGAAAAACGGGGUGAGCAUAAAAUGCCCAGUAGGGGUAAGUCCGUAGUCAUUUAAAAUCUCUAGUGCAUGCCGAAAGUAAUAAAAGUGAUUCAAAACAGUUUAUUUUCACCACCACGUAAUCCAACAAUUUAAAAAUUUAUGGAAAGUAACAUAUGACAGAAAAACCAAAGGUUUCGGAGCAUUAGCAGCUUGAUAACAACGGUACAACACACAAGUUCAAAAAUCACUUCUUUUGUCAUAAGGAUAACAAAGCCAUUAUCAUUUAAAGAAUCACUAGCACACCAAAUCACAAAGAUCUUCUUUUAUCCCAAACAAGUGACAAGCAGAUUGGAAAGAACCGUAAUAUACCUGGCCAAUACACAUAUCACAUGUAUUUAUCACUUUCAUAACUCAUUCUCACAGCCCCCACACAUGGAGCUUUCCCCGGGGAACCUUGGGUCAUUGUGCCCAUAAUCAAACAACUUCACGGGUCAUUGUGCCCAUUCAUACAUUUCUCAACAUUCUCAACUGCACAGGUAUUACACUAUUUUUCAUCUACUUUCACAAUUUGAACAUUCGUAUUGAGAUGCUUCAAUAUUUGGUAUUGAGUAAAAUAAGAGGCAUGCACAUCAAAACAAAAUCUUGAAAAAACUCAUUUCAAUCACUUUAAACUCACCAAAGUUGUAGUAACGGAAUUUGAAUCAUUUAGAUCAAACCAUAGUGCAAUAUUUUCUCCACUUCUUUUACAUAAUCGAAAAAGAAAACAUUUUAAGUAAGCUUAAAAAAUGUUCAAAUGCCAUCAAUCCUUAAUCAAGUAAAAAUGAAAAACCAAAAUAUUUUAUUUUUGAUUAAAACUCCCCUACCUCAACACAAUUUCUUGAUAUUCAACUUCCAUGGUGUUCGUCGACUUGUGUCGUCCCCUUGUCCUUCUCUUCCUUAUCUAUAAACAAGAAAAAUCAUUACGCACCACUUAUACAAAUAUCUAACAACAUACCCUAAUUCAAGGUUAAUUGGGGACUUAAAUCAAACACUUGGUGCUCAACUCUAAAACUAUAACAUGAACUAUGAUACCUUCAUGUUCUUUUACUCCGACCCAAACUAAUUCAUGGGUUAACAAACCAAAAAAAAUCAAAUAGAUCCCAAAGGUAAGAAAUAGAUACCUUAAAUGGAGACAAAGGAAAGAUCCUCACUUGUUCUAAUCUUCACAAGCAAAGAAAAUUAAACUCCUCUUCCUUAGAUUUCCUUUUUGACAAGUGAAGAGCUAAAAGGGGUAAACCCCUUUCAUUAUUUUUGGCUGGAGGGAAGGCAGGAAGGGAACAUAGGGAUUUCUAGAACCCAUCCCUUUUUUUUAUAUCCCAAACGUCAACUUUACCUCCUUUUUUUUUUCUUUAUAUAUAUAUAUAUAUAUAUAUAUUUUUUUUUCCAAUGGCCAAAGGCCAAUUGAUCUAACCUCAAAUAAUGCAAAACAAUUUUUGCUAACAAAGACCACAAGCAAUUCACUCUUAAUCCCCACUUAAAAUUUUCGGGAUAUUACAAUCUGGCAAUUUUCGAGGCACCUCUUACAAUCCAAGUCGUUCUUCAGGAGGAUCAAAUCGAUAGUACUUUGGUGGCCGAGUUCCCUAUCAAAUAUGUCACUCUUAGGAUCAUGAAGCAAUUGACUACUUCAAACGCAUGAAUCAUGCCUUUGCUGGAAAAAUUCCACCAGCUAAAUUAGCAAGGAUGCGUGCUUAUACCAUUGCUAAAUCUUCUUGUCCUACCUGGAUUUUGGACUCUGGAGCUACCUCACGUAUCACAAAUGAUAUCUCUUCCAUUCAUUCUCAUAUGCCUUAUCAAGGUGAAGACAAGGUUUAUAUCGGUGAUGAUCAAGGUAUGCCCAUUCACCACACUGGUACUUCUGUUCUUAAAACUCCAACUGCGGCAUUUAAGUUGAACAAUGUUCUUCAUGUUCCUCAUAUGAAGUUUAAUCUUCUUUCUGCAUAUCAAAUUUUAAAGGAUAAUUACUGUCAAUUAAUCCUUGAUUCUGAUGGUUCUACAAUCAAGGACCGUUCUACAGGGAAUAUGCUUUUUUAGGGGCCAGUUAGCUCUGGUUUUUAUCUCGUCCAAGGUACUUCUCAUGCUUCUGUCUGUGCUCCAGCAUCUACAUCGUCCUAUGCAAAAAUUAGUACUCCAACUUCAUUACAACUUUGGCAUAAGAGGCUUGGACAUCCCUCUUCUACAAUUUUCAGGAAGAUAUUAACUAGAAAUAAGCUUGCUUACACUGGCUAACAGUCUGUAUGUUUCUUUUGUCAAGAUUAUGCCAUUGGAAAAAAUCAUAAGCUACCAUUUUCUGUAAGCACUAGUAGUACUACUCACAGUCUAGAACUUGUUCACUGUGAUGUUUAGGGCCCUGCUUCUAUAUCCUCUAUUAGUGGAUAUAAAUUCUAUGUUUUAUUUGUUAAUGAGUUUACCAAAUGUAAUUGGUUGUUUCCUUUGAAGUCAAAAUCUGAGGUCUUCUCCAUAUUUGUACAUUUCAAAUCAUAUGUUGAAAAGUUGACUAGAAACAAAAUCAAGAUUCUGCGAUCUGAUUAUUAAUGAAAUUUGUAAUUCUCGUCAUUUUCUAUUUUAUUUAUCCAGCGUCCAAACAAUGAAAUUUCAACUUACAAAAUUUUAAAAACUAGUGUAAAUUAUAAACUCCCGUUAUUUAUAAUUUUAUGAAAAUUUAAAACUAUCAAUCCAUACAAAGUGAGAAUUUUCUCAAAAGCUCCUGUAGUUUCCAUUUUCUUAAUUUCGAACAUUUCCCCUCUAAUCCUCUACCCUACAAAGUAAUCUGAAUCACUAGCCAAGACCAAAAGAGUUUUGACUUUUGGAGCAUUGAAUUCAGUUAGAAUUGGAAGAGAGUGCUGGUUGGAGAGAAGACAUGUUUAUGUUGUACUUUUGAUUAAUCCUGCCAUGAAAUUUGUAAUUCUCGUCAUUUUCUAUUUUAUUUAUCCAACAUCCAAACAAUAAAUUUCAACUUACAAAAUUUUAAAAACUAGUGUAAAUUAUAAACUCCCGUUAUUUAUAAUUCUAUGAAAAUUAAAAACUAUCAAUCCAUAUAAAGUGAGAAUUUUCUCAAAAGCCCCUAUAGUUUCCAUUUUCUUAAUCUUGAACAUUUCCCCUCCAAUCCUCUACCCUACAAAGGAAUCUGAAUCACUAGCCAAAACCAAAAGAGUUUUGACUUUUGGGGACAUUGAAUGCAAUUUGAUUUGGAGAGAAGGCAUGUUUAUGUUGUACUUUCCAUUAAUCCUGCCAUGGAAGAACUUUAACCGAAUGUUUAUGAUAUUAAACAAAACAAUGGGGGUAAAUGCGUUUUCCUCAUGCUUAAUUUAAUUGUGCUUAUCCUUUCAAAAAUAAAAAAUUAUCUUUCACCAUGCGUAAUUGUGCAUUGACCCAUUCGACGUUUACUAAUACCUACCGGCUGCCACCAACCAAUAUUGUUUUCUUUCUAAUUAAUCCUACUAGUGUUCCACAUGUUGCUUCAAGAACCCUGUGGGAAUGGGAUGAAAGUUCCAUGCUACUAUUUCUCCACUGUAAUUAUUCAAUAUUCAUAUGAUUUUGUAUGAUAAAAAUGGGCCCUUUGUUUCCCUCGUUUUUGUAUCCCGACUUGUUGCGUGGGUAAACUAUGAACAUUUUUUGUGUAUUUUUUUUUGGUUUUUGGAAUGGAGAAGCAUGAGAUUACGGUAGACUUUUUAUUUACGAGUGAAAAAGAAUAUUGCAAAACUGUUGUACUGAAUGAGAAUAGUUAUUUCAUAUCUUUUGUUUUUUUUUAUAUGAAAGAAAAAUGUGAAAGAGAGAAUGGUGGGAGAAAACUUGGAAGAAUUUAAAUUAGUAUAAUUGUUGUUUCAUCUUUAUUAUGUAAAUAUUGUUUUACUGCAAGAAUAAUAUAAGAAAACUGAUGACAUGGUUGGUGUCUUGAGAAAGAGGUUGGCAAUCUCUCUUGGAGUUUUAUCUUUAAAUUUUGCUACUUGACAUUCCACCUAGAUUUCACUUAGUAGUAGUGUUAGUGUUGAUGUGAAAUAUGCGACCGCAGCUAUAAACUGAGCAAAACGCUUGCAAUGCCAUCAAUAGCAAGAGAAAAACGGCAGCCAGCAAAGCAAGAAUUGGCCAGCCACCAACCACAUAAACCUUGAAAAAUUUUGCCAUUUUAACCUUCCAUCUACCGUUGUAAUACUUGUUCACAUCUUCAAUCGCCUGGUCCAAGAAUGGCACUUUCGUCAACCGAAUCGACUUGCUCAUACCAUUAAAUAGAUUGGCCACUUCUUCAUCACUCUUCAAAUGGUUCAGAAUUAUACCUUUUUCUCUAAGCAGCUUUGCGUCCUCCUCCGUGUCUAUAAUCCCGUUCAUCAUUUCUGUGUAGCGUGUAAAAACCAACUGCCCUGAUGCAUUUGAUGCUUCAUAAGCUACCAAGUUUCUCAGGAUCACCUCUGUGUUCACAUCUAAGCUAGUUGCGGGGAGGUAAAGUGUGACUGUUUUGGGAUCAAAGGAGACAGAUGAAAUGCAACCAUUUGUUGGCACAAAACGGACCCCGGAUUUCAUAAGAUCGGACACAGAAGGGAUUGUAAUCUCCUCUACCAAUGGAGGUCUGUUGACGGAACUCUCAUUUUCGGGUUUGAUUUCUUCUUUGUCUUGGGAGGAGAAUAAAUAAGCAACAGGUUGUUUCAAAAGUGCAAAUCCAGGAAGGCUGGAGAGGAUUGUCCAAGGCAAUUUAAAUAUCACUUUAAUAGGUCCGGAAACAAGUAUUUUUUUAAGAAGACGUACGGGGCCUUUGCUUAGUUUCGACAGCAGCUUCCAUACUUCCUCAAGAAAUUGUUUAACGUAAUUCGGGCUCUUCGUAGAUUUUGACUCCUUGUCUUCGUCUGUGCCUUCACCUUGAUCCUCAGCUUCUACAAACUCAGCUUCUACAAUUUCAGAGGGCUGGCGUUCUAGUAUGGGGGUGAUCAUUUGGUACAAAAAGUCUAGCAAGUGAGCACAUUCUGAGACUUUGAUCUUUGGUAGGUCCUCAUCCUUCAUCUUGAAUAGUGAAAGCUCUUUGCACAAUCCCAUCAACAUCGAAAGCAGCAUCUCGUCGGCGGUUUCCAACGAUUGGAAUCGAAACUCCGACAUUUUUCUCAACACAAAUAGUGGGAUUUGGUUCUCAAGCAUUACCAAGUCCCUUAGAAUUGAAUGGUGUGCUGAGUUCCUGCCUGAAUAGUCAACCAAGCGUGACAUCUUUGAGGAAACUCUUGUUAAUAUCUUCCCUUCUUUGGCUCCAUAAACUUGGAGAAUCUCUAGCAAGAACGAUGCAUCAAUCGCCAUCAUCCACCCUAGUGUCUCACCAUUGAAAUUCAGGUACUUGUGGUAGCAACCACGAAUCCGGGGCUCCAAAUUUAUCAAUUGGUCAACAAGAUUUUGGAACUUAAGGCACUGGAGAUUCUUUUGUGUUCUUUUAGCUGCAGCCACUUUGUACCUCUCCAUCUCGUAGAGCUCCGGACGCAAAUAAUGGUAAGGACCAAUUGCAACUUCUUGUGGGGUGUAGGAAUCAGGAUCACUGGCCAAAAGGGUUUUCGGUACAUUGAAAACGGAAACAGGGAUUUCGCUGUCAUCAUCGAGCUCUUCCUCGAGUGUUUUUCGGAUUUGAAUAACCCAUUGGAACUCGUUGAAGUUCGAACUGGAUUUGGACGAGAAAGUUUGUUGGAGAGAAGACAUGUUUAUGGUGUUGUUCUAGCUUUUUUAGGAUCAUAAACUUUUUUGGUGGGUUGAAUGACAGUUUCUGAUCAGAUUGUGAGGAAGUACUCAUAUUAAAUAUUGUCAUUAGGGACCUUUAAGAGUGGUUUUGAAUUUAUCAAUUGUGAAUGCGUUUUCCUUAUGCUUUAAUUGUUUAAGGUGUGAAAUGUGUCUUUCACCUUGGUCAUGACAUAGAUCCGAGUUGGCUACGGCAUGCAUGUCUUCAUUAUAUUGAAUUCUCAUCCUUCUUAGUAAUUGGUGUUAGCAAGAGCGGAGAGGAUGUGGAAACACAGUUCGGUAUGCUAUGUAUAAUAAUAUAAUUAGUUGGAAACUUGAAGAAAAUAAAUUUAAACAAUUACGUUAUAACAUUUGGUACCGGAUCGUGUUUCUGAGAUACUGACAAAAUUUCUCAAUGAAUAAGAAUAAACUAGGUCAAAAAUUCGAAACCCUAAAUGUAACGAAAAAUAAGUAAUAAUUCGUCUAUUGGUGACAGGGAGUUGUAUGUCUGUUAUUCCCACUUGGUGCAAGUAGGAUUAAUGUAGUGUGAGAAUCAUAAUCAUUGGGCUCCAUUUCACGUGUAGAAGACCUGUGGGAUGACAGUGCCAUGUUACAUUUUCUGCAUGGGUUUUGGAUAUAUAUAUAUAUAUAUAUAUAUAUAUAUAUACACACUGCAGUUUUCUUUUCGUCAACUUCAAAACAAGGUUAAGUCUUCAAAAACGACUAUUUAUAAACAUGUUUAAUUAAUUGACGCGGUUGCCACUUAAUACUACGAUAUAAUAGUAUUUUUCUUUAUUUAUAAUUAAAUGGCCUUAUAUUCGAUUUUUGCCAAACUUCACGUAGCGCACCUUUUUCCAAACUUCACGUGAAAACUUUAUAGCCGUGUCAUAGUGUGCAUCAUGUUAACGCUCCAAAUUUUAACGAGUUGGCAACUUGCUAAAGAGCAUGGCUAGUAAUAUAUGACAAUAUGACUAGUUUAAUGUUUUUUUUUUCACCACUUGAGAAAUUUUUCGAACAUUAAUGAAAUUUAUAAUUCUCGUCAUUUUCUAUUUUAUUUAUCCAAAGUUCAAACAAUGAAAUUUCAACUUACAAAAUUUUAAAAACUAGUGUAAAUUAUAAAUUCCUGUUAUUUAUAAUUCUAUGAAAAUUAAAAACUAUCAAUCCAUACAAAGCGAGAAUUUUCUCAAAAGCUCCUAUAGUUUCCAUUUUCUUGAUCUCGAACAUUUCCCCUCUAAUCCUCUACUCUACAUAGUAAUCUGAAUCACUAGCCAAAACCAAAAGAGUUUUGACUUUUGGAGACAUCGAAUUCAAUUAGACUUGGAAGAGAGUGCUGGUUGGAGAGAAGACAUGCUUAUGUUGCACUUUAGAUUAAUCCUGCCAUGAGGAACUUUAACUGAAUGUUUUUGAUAUUAAACAAAACAAUGGUGGUGCAUGCGUUUUCCUCAUGCUUAAUUUAAUUGUUCUUGUCCUUUUAAAAGUCAAAAAUUGUCACCAUCCGUUUGACGUUUACUUAAACCUACUGGUUGCCACCAACCAAUAUUGUUUUCUUUCUAAUUAAUCCUACUAGUGUUUCACAUGUUGCUUCAAGAACCGUGUGGGAAGGGGAUGAAAGUUCCGUGAACUAUUUCUCCACUGUAGUUAUUCAAUAUUCAUAUGAUUUUGUAUGAUUAAAAUAGGCCCUUUGUUUCCGGACUUGUACGUGUGUAAACUGUGAACAUUUUUGGUUUUUGGAAUGAAGAAUGUACAAUUAUUUAUACAUGUGUUAGAUUAUGGUGAGCUUUUUACUUACAGGUGAAGAAGAAUAUCACAAAACGGUGAAGGGUGGAAGAAAAGUUGGAAGAACUUAAAUUUGGAUAAUUAUCGUUUCAUCUUUAUUACGUAAACAUUGUUUUUUUAACAAACUUUAUUAUUUACACUACGGGGUUGGGGUAUAGGCUAAGCCUCAUAAUGGGCUAGCAAUAAUAUAGUUCAAAUUUGCAUUUGGCGAAAAUUGAAUCUAAGACCUCUCACUUACAAAUGAAGAAAAAUAGUACUAGACUGUAAUACUAAGUAGCAUUAUGUAUAUAUUGUUUUAUUGCAAGGAUAAUAUAAGGAAAUUGGUGACAUGGUUGGUGUUUUGUGAAAGAGGUUGACAAUCUCUCUUGGAGUUUCAUCAUACCGACCUCAUUUAGCAACUCGAACUAUACAGACUAGUUCAGUCGAAUAGAAUAAAUAAUCGUUAUAUAAUACUGAUUAAAUUAAUCGGUGAUUUAGUGCAGUAUCAAAUUAAAUAUCGACUAUUCGUACUACGUUUGGUACCCUACAGAAUAAGUACUACUGCUAAUAUUUUUUUAUAAAAAAAAAUUUCCAUAUUAGUUUUAAGAAAAAAUUUGAUAAUAAAAUAAUUUAAAAAAUGGAAAAAUAAUGAUAGAAUAAUGCACAAAGGUCUCUGCCCUUAAUUUGUUGUUCAUCUUCUGCACAAAAACCAAUUUCGUUUUUCUGCAGACAACACGGAUCAGUUAUGGGUGUGUUUUCACGGCGAAUCGAGGCUCUGCGAAGGUGCGGCUUUCAAGCAGAGACGACGGUCCAGCAACGUCGGCGAGGAUUGACAGAGCUUCUGGCUCUUGAAGUUUUCUGGGAAUCGUUGAGAUUUUGCUCCAGAUUCCGGCUAAAGGGCGGCCGCAGGUCAUCAGGUUUAAGAUCCUGUCAAGGAAAUUGAUUUAUCGUUGAGAACCACGGGUGGGUCGUCGCAAAUUGAGCCAAGAGUAUGAAUUUAGCCAGGAAGCUUCGUCGUCCAACCCUAAUUAACUUCACAGAAGUUUAUAGAAACAGAGAGAAGAAGAAGAAGAACGACGGUUGAACGACGAGAACAGGAAUGAGUCUUGCGAACGAUGCGAGUGAGAGAAACGUGACGACGGAGGGACAUAAAGAGCGGGAGAGGGAGAGUUGUUUCAUACCCGACUAAUAAUCCUUAGGUUUUGGGGUGGAUAAAUUAGCAGGAGAGCACACCAUAAACUAUGGUAUAUGAUCAUCAUAUACCUAAUUAAUUGACAUGUAUUCCGUUUAAUUCUAGUUAACUUUAGUUUUUCAAUUUUAAAAAAAAAUUAACCAAAAUUAAAUGAAAUGACACGUAUCAAUUGAUUAGAUGUAUAGUGAGCAUACAGCAUAAUUUAUAGUGAUGAGUAAAAAUGCUCCCAAUUAGUAGGUGUGUGCGGUAUAAAACAUGUGAGGUCAGUACAAUUAAUCCGGAUGCUAUUUAGUACGAAGUUGUGCUAAACACUCGGUCCGUAUUAUUUAUCCCAUCCAAUCCCUUAUUUAUUGCUUUUCUCAAAAUUUAUGCUUUGAUUCUUGUUGGGUUUUGUGUAUUUUUGUUUCUGUUUGUUGGUUUACUAUAUAGGAUUAAUUCAUUAACUUGGUUUUCGGAAUUAUUGUUCUGCCUAAAUUUCUGUCAUCUGUGAGUUAUGGCUUGCUGUUUGAAUUUCUGAUUCCUUUUUGAGCAUUUGAAUUGGUUUUAUUUGUGUUUCUGAUUUGUUCUGCAACUGGGUUCGUUUCCGUUUGCAUUUUCGGGGCAGGCCGUGAUGGUUUUCGGGGUUAGUUAUGGGGUUUUGAGCUUGUAAAGUUUCACUACACCGCUGACGUUAUUGCUAAAUAGUACUUAAGCCAUUGGUUCAAUCUCUUUUGGUGUUUUGCUUAAUAUACAUUGUUGGUCAAUUUUCAAACAAUUUGAGCUUCUGGGGUUUUAGUGGAUGUAUGUCUAACAAGGAAAAUAGGUUCUCUUUGUAAUGCCACAAGGCCUAUAUGUUCUCUUUGUUCUAUCACCGUUACAUAGUAGUUUUCUCGUCUGACUUUUCUUUUCUGUGAAUAACAAGUCCAACUCGUAAACACUUUAGACGGUGGAAAAUUGGCAUUCUUUGUUUUGAAAUUCCUCCUUUUCCCCUUUCUUGAGUUAACUUGAGAAGUUUUUUGUUUGAAUACCUCAGUAUUUAGAAACUGACCAAAUAUUUUUUGGAAAUGCUUUCUUCACAGUUUCGGAUAGUUAUGUUGCCUUAUGAAAUAAGUUCGUAUUGGCUUUUUUUACUAUAACAUUUUGUGGUUUGCAUUGUGCUUGGAUGGUAGUUCUGGAGCUGUUCAUUUUUUUGUGCCUUUUGCUUUUGUUUAACUGAUGUAACUCAACGGUUUGCAUAGUUUUUGUCGAAGAGUAUAUCAAGCAUACAAUUCAUGAGUGAUUAAGUUUCUGCCAAAUAAAUAUGAAAACGAUGGACUGAAAUAUUCUGGGAUUGUUCUGGGAAGCCAGGCUCCCAGUGGUUGUUUGCCUCUUGAGAAGUGUUUAAAUAUUAUUGAAUGGUGCCGUGUCUAUGAAUUAUCAGCAGUACAGAACCUUAGGAGACAUAACACGGACAAAGAUGAGACCUUUAGACGAGACUGAGACCACGAGUGUUUGAAAAGCUGUUCAAGUUUACAGGCAACAACCUCAAAAACAUUGUCGAGAACCCUUCUCAUGAAGGCCCAAACCCUGGUUCAGGUAGUUACUGCUUUCGCCUCCACAAGAACAGAGUUUACCAUGGUAGCGAGUCACUAGUAAAGCGUGCUACAAAUAUAGCUCGGACCCAGUUAGUCUCUCUUGGUACCUGUAUCGGUAGGUUCACUCAUGGUGGCAAGUUCCAUUUAACUGUUCAAUGUCUGAGUGUAUUGGCAUCAAAUGCUAAUUAAACACAAGGUCUGGCUCAAACCUACAUCUGAGAUGUCGUUCUUGUAUGGAAACCAUGUUUUGAAAGGUGGUUUGGGGAGGAUUACGGAGAAUAUUGUGCCCGGUGAUGGGAUGGUUUUUGCAUUUUAAAAGGUUUGAGGUUUUCACUUUCGUGCCGACCAUAGAAUAGCACCGAUGGUAUCAAGGCGGCACGUGCCUUACUGUAUGUUUGUUCUCUGCUCCACACAAUGACAAACACUAGGUGGCUCUGAUCGGGUACGAAUUGAGAUUUCUCUGAACUUUUGCGUCCAAAAGUCAAAAAAAAAGAGAAAUGAUAAGCAAAAUCUCAAAAAUAAAACUUUUUAUGAAUUAUGCUUCAUUUUAUGUUUUUAGCACAAUUUUCAUGCUAACAGUAAUAAACAUUGUGCUAAAUGACAUAGAGUUCAUCCAAAGUCCAACUUACAAAGUGUUAGACUCUCUUAGCAUUUCUCUUCAAGGAUUAAGAGACUCUAAUUACUUAUUUUAUAGUAUGUGACCCCAUUAGUCUAUUCCAGUGGUCUUUAGACUUGGAACACAGAAAUCCAAAGAAAAUCUCAGUUCAUCCAAUACAAUUUGAUACAAUUUGGAGAUUUGCAAGUAGUUAAGAGAUUUAAACGAAUUUCUCUAGUAAGAAUUUGACCUUGUGUUUGAGAUAAAUGACGGACCUUGAACAAGAGUGGAGAUGAUUUUCUUUUCGCAAGUAGUUAAAUGAUGGUUGUAUUGCCAAGGGGUCAUUUGAUUAUUUGACCAUAGAGUGAAUAAACAAUCUAUACACACGGAGUUAUUUAGAUUAUUUGAAUAUAUAAAGUGAAGAAAUGGUAUAGUGUUAAGGUUUUGUUUUUUUUUGGUACCUGAUUGAGAGGAGAAAUAACUUGGGAUUAAGUUACCGAAUUUUCUUAAGUUAAACCUCACUGAAGUUUUUCUCGAUUGGAAGCAGUCAAAUAGAGGGUAAGGUUUAUGUUUUUUUUUGUUUGUUUUUUUAGUGAUGGUAAGGUUGUUUGUAUUCAAACACUUGGUUCAAAUUGGCCAAGGAUCGGUUGGGUGGAAUAAGAUUGUGCUCUAGGCCAGUUAAAUUUGACUUUUCAGUCAAAUUUCAGCCAAUAUAUAAUAUCGGAAUUGGCCCAUCAUGCUUCAAUAUUCUGGGCUGGCGAUUGGCCAAAUGGCUUGGCUAAGAAAAUAACUUUAUCCUCCUCUCUAAUGAAAAUUUGGAUCCUGCAAGAUUUAACUAAAGGAUAAAAAGGAAAAGAAAAAUCCCCAUGAAAGAUACAGCUCAAAUUACAAGCAACUGAAAAUACUGCUUAGAGCUUAUUUGAAAGUACUUUUAAAAUGAUUAGAAGUACUUUUGGUAAAAAUGUUUUUGAAAUCAAUCCUUAGAGCAAGUCCACCCCUAACGAAUGAGUUGGGCAAUAGCCCAUUUUCCCCCUAGCCUCCCCCCCCCUCCCACCAAAACACCAAAAAAACCACUCCACCCCAUCCAAUUAGCUGACCCAAAAUGGAGGCCAGCUUUGAGCCCAGCACAAAAUGGAUUAAGCAAGAAACUGACCUACAUGACGCCAGGCCGACGCCAGCCAUGUGAAUUUUGUUUUUGCGACUGGCGUGCAAGAAACAUGCGCAGUGGGGGCGCGUUCCAACAUUCAAAAAAAUGUCAGAAUCUUAUAGUUGGCCACAUGUCCACUUUCGGGUUGUUGGAUUUCAACCUUUUUGAAAUCCUACGGUCCAGAUUAAUUAACUUAAUAAAAAAUUAUAAAAAUUGUUUAAAAAUCAAGAAAAAGUAAAAUGAUUUUUUUUUAUAUAAAUGCCUAAUCAUCUUUCACAAAAAUUGUACUUUCGGACAAUGACACAUGACAUGACAAGAUUGGUUAAAAAUUCUAUCGAAAAUUAAAAAAAAAUUAUUUUAUUAUUAUUUUAUAAUAAAAAUUAUUAAUAUUUUAAUACUAAUUGACUAGGUUAUUCAGUUUAGGGAUAGAUAUACACUUGGGAAAUUACUAUUCAUUUGGGUGGAUUGAAUAGACUCUUGCCCUGCUUGGUUUUUAGGUGUGGAGUUGCUCUUAGUAAAAUACCCAAGUGGAUUCUAGAAAAGCACUUGAAGUGCUUCCUUCCAGAAGCACACUUAGUACUAGUUUGGUACUGAGGUUCUUUUAUAAAAAGUGGGUAUCAAAAAAUGCUAAGCUCAAAAAGGUGUUUGGUAAACACUUAAAAACAGCUUAUUUUCACAGUUUUGGGUGAAAAAAAACUGAAAACGUGAAGCAGCAAAAAUUAGCUUAUUCUCACAGCACAACAGAAGCAGGUUUUUUUCAAAGCACAACAAUACCAAACCAGUUUUCAAAGCCAAAAUUCAACAAAAGCGUUUUCAGUCAUUUUAAAAGCAUUUCCAAACCAACGACAGCGGAGCAAAAUCCCGCUUAGUAGUAGUACUACCCCCUAUUGUCCUUAAUUAGAACUCCCUGCUAUUUCCUUGGCCUGAGGAGCUGAACUUACCUUGCACUCAAGAAUUUUCUAGGAUACAUGCAGGGCCAGCAAACGGCAUCAUCUCCUUGCUGGUAGUUUUGGAGUAAUCAAGUACAAUCUUGAAUCUUCCAAACCAAACCGAAAUCAUCGAGGUCUUCUAUGAUAAAAUUUUACACACUUAACAAUAGAUGGUUAAGUUAGCAACAAUAUCGCUAAUGUUAGUAGUGAGCCAUGCUGAACCUAAAAAUUUAUCAAUUAAUUUUUCGAAAAUUAUACAUCCACUGCAUCAAAUCCAAAGUUAUAUAUCUUUUUAAGGGAGAAAUGCACUAUAAAUUUUAUAAAGUUUUAGGUAGCUUGGUAGAUUAUAUUAUUCAACAAUGACUCAAGCUCAGCUGCCAGUUAGUUCUUGGACAUAUCUAUUAUCCGCAAUGGUUGGACGACUUUUUUCAUUAAUUUAUACGUUUAGAGUUUAUAGACAUAUAUAGAUAAAGUAAGAAAGCAAACCCAGCCAUAUCCUUUUCUUUAGCAAGAAUAGAAGGGAUUAAGACAUAAUUAACUAAUUAAACACACCCAAAAAAACUAAAUUAAGCAUCACCACUAAGUAGUAGUGGUUGUGUUGAUGCCAAAUGUGCGACCGCAGCUAUAAACUGAGCAAACCGCUUGCAAUGUCAUCAAUAGCAAGAGAAAAACGGCAGCCAACAAAGAAAGAAUUGGCCAGCAACCAACCACAUAAACCUUGAACAUUUUUGCCAUUUUAACCUUCCAUCUACCGUUGUAAUACUUGUUCACAUCGUCAAUCGCCUGGUCCAAGAAUGGCACUUUCGUCAACCGAAUCGACUUGCUCAUACCACUAAACAGAUUGGCCACUUCUUCAUCACUCUUCAAACGGUUCAGAAUUAUACCUUUAUCUCUAAGCAGCUUUGCGUCCUCCUCCGUGUCUAUAAUCCCGUUCAUCAUUUCCGUGUAGCGCGUAAAAACCAACUGCCCUGAUGCAUUUGAUGCUUCAUAAGCUACUAAGUUUCUCAGGAUCACCUCUGCGUUCACAUCUAAGCUAGUUACGGGGAGGUAAAGUGUGACCGUUUUAGGAUCAAAGGAGAUGGAUGAAAUGCUACCCUUUGUUGGCACGAAACGGACCCCAGAUUCCAUAAGAC